rnacentral:rRNA from 1 species
UGGGGAAUAUUGCACAAUGGGCGCAAGCCUGAUGCAGCCAUGCCGCGUGUAUGAAGAAGGCCUUCGGGUUGUAAAGUACUUUCAGCGGGGAGGAAGGGAGUAAAGUUAAUACCUUUGCUCAUUGACGUUACCCGCAGAAGAAGCACCGGCUAACUCCGUGCCAGCAGCCGCGGUAAUACGGAGGGUGCAAGCGUUAAUCGGAAUUACUGGGCGUAAAGCGCACGCAGGCGGUCUGUCAAGUCGGAUGUGAAAUCCCCGGGCUCAACCUGGGAACUGCAUUCGAAACUGGCAGGCUAGAGUCUUGUAGAGGGGGGUAGAAUUCCAGGUGUAGCGGUGAAAUGCGUAGAGAUCUGGAGGAAUACCGGUGGCGAAGGCGGCCCCCUGGACAAAGACUGACGCUCAAGUGCGAAAGCGUGGGGAGCAAACAGG